rnacentral:rRNA from 1 species
UUAAGCGACUAAGCGUACACGGUGGAUGCCCUGGCAGUCAGAGGCGAUGAAGGACGUGCUAAUCUGCGAUAAGCGUCGGUAAGGUGAUAUGAACCGUUAUAACCGGCGAUUUCCGAAUGGGGAAACCCAGUGUGUUUCGACACACUAUCAUUAACUGAAUCCAUAGGUUAAUGAGGCGAACCGGGGGAACUGAAACAUCUAAGUACCCCGAGGAAAAGAAAUCAACCGAGAUUCCCCCAGUAGCGGCGAGCGAACGGGGAGCAGCCCAGAGCCUGAAUCAGUGUGUGUGUUAGUGGAAGCGUCUGGAAAGGCGCGCGAUACAGGGUGACAGCCCCGUACACAAAAAUGCACAUGCUGUGAGCUCGAUGAGUAGGGCGGGACACGUGGUAUCCUGUCUGAAUAUGGGGGGACCAUCCUCCAAGGCUAAAUACUCCUGACUGACCGAUAGUGAACCAGUACCGUGAGGGAAAGGCGAAAAGAACCCCGGCGAGGGGAGUGAAAAAGAACCUGAAACCGUGUACGUACAAGCAGUGGGAGCACGCUUAGGCGUGUGACUGCGUACCUUUUGUAUAAUGGGUCAGCGACUUAUAUUCUGUAGCAAGGUUAACCGAAUAGGGGAGCCGAAGGGAAACCGAGUCUUAACUGGGCGUUAAGUUGCAGGGUAUAGACCCGAAACCCGGUGAUCUAGCCAUGGGCAGGUUGAAGGUUGGGUAACACUAACUGGAGGACCGAACCGACUAAUGUUGAAAAAUUAGCGGAUGACUUGUGGCUGGGGGUGAAAGGCCAAUCAAACCGGGAGAUAGCUGGUUCUCCCCGAAAGCUAUUUAGGUAGCGCCUCGUGAAUUCAUCUCCGGGGGUAGAGCACUGUUUCGGCAAGGGGGUCAUCCCGACUUACCAACCCGAUGCAAACUGCGAAUACCGGAGAAUGUUAUCACGGGAGACACACGGCGGGUGCUAACGUCCGUCGUGAAGAGGGAAACAACCCAGACCGCCAGCUAAGGUCCCAAAGUCAUGGUUAAGUGGGAAACGAUGUGGGAAGGCCCAGACAGCCAGGAUGUUGGCUUAGAAGCAGCCAUCAUUUAAAGAAAGCGUAAUAGCUCACUGGUCGAGUCGGCCUGCGCGGAAGAUGUAACGGGGCUAAACCAUGCACCGAAGCUGCGGCAGCGACGCUUAUGCGUUGUUGGGUAGGGGAGCGUUCUGUAAGCCUGUGAAGGUGUGCUGUGAGGCAUGCUGGAGGUAUCAGAAGUGCGAAUGCUGACAUAAGUAACGAUAAAGCGGGUGAAAAGCCCGCUCGCCGGAAGACCAAGGGUUCCUGUCCAACGUUAAUCGGGGCAGGGUGAGUCGACCCCUAAGGCGAGGCCGAAAGGCGUAGUCGAUGGGAAACAGGUUAAUAUUCCUGUACUUGGUGUUACUGCGAAGGGGGGACGGAGAAGGCUAUGUUGGCCGGGCGACGGUUGUCCCGGUUUAAGCGUGUAGGCUGGUUUUCCAGGCAAAUCCGGAAAAUCAAGGCUGAGGCGUGAUGACGAGGCACUACGGUGCUGAAGCAACAAAUGCCCUGCUUCCAGGAAAAGCCUCUAAGCAUCAGGUAACAUCAAAUCGUACCCCAAACCGACACAGGUGGUCAGGUAGAGAAUACCAAGGCGCUUGAGAGAACUCGGGUGAAGGAACUAGGCAAAAUGGUGCCGUAACUUCGGGAGAAGGCACGCUGAUAUGUAGGUGAAGUCCCUCGCGGAUGGAGCUGAAAUCAGUCGAAGAUACCAGCUGGCUGCAACUGUUUAUUAAAAACACAGCACUGUGCAAACACGAAAGUGGACGUAUACGGUGUGACGCCUGCCCGGUGCCGGAAGGUUAAUUGAUGGGGUUAGCGCAAGCGAAGCUCUUGAUCGAAGCCCCGGUAAACGGCGGCCGUAACUAUAACGGUCCUAAGGUAGCGAAAUUCCUUGUCGGGUAAGUUCCGACCUGCACGAAUGGCGUAAUGAUGGCCAGGCUGUCUCCACCCGAGACUCAGUGAAAUUGAACUCGCUGUGAAGAUGCAGUGUACCCGCGGCAAGACGGAAAGACCCCGUGAACCUUUACUAUAGCUUGACACUGAACAUUGAGCCUUGAUGUGUAGGAUAGGUGGGAGGCUUUGAAGUGUGGACGCCAGUCUGCAUGGAGCCGACCUUGAAAUACCACCCUUUAAUGUUUGAUGUUCUAACGU